GCGGGGGCUGCGGCUACCUGCGCGCGCCGCUGCCGGUUCACCGGAACUCGGGCCUCGCCCGCCCGGCUCCGGAACCCCCGGCUUUUCGGCGCCGACGCCCCCCUCGCGUCCCCUCCACGGACUCCAGGCCGCUUUGCUGUGGUCAGGUCGCACUCUACUAAACUCCUUGAAGGGUGGAGACUUUUAUCUUAUCGACCUUGAUACCUUCAGUGCCUGGUACAGAAAAGGGAGUCUGUUAGAAUGAGUGUGAAUUCCACGGUCAAACUGUCAUUGCCAGAAGACAGGAAUAUCUAAAGAGAGAAAAAUUCAGAUGGAAACUGACUCUUCUCUUAACACUGAGCACACCCCACUAGUUUUUCGAUUGAGCAUGGCUCACUGAAACCUCUGC